rfam:Hordeum vulgare subsp. vulgare, WGS project CAJW01000000 data, contig: morex_contig_1592361
AACAUACUCCCUCCGUCCGGANNNNNUUGUCAUAAGAAUGGAUGUAUCUAGAUGCAUUUUAGUUCUAGAUACAUCCAUUUUUAUUCAUUUUUGUGACAUGUAAUUCCUGAUGGAGGGAGUAAUAG